UGGGGAAUAUUGCACAAUGGAGGGAACUCUGAUGCAGCGACGCCGCGUGAACGAAGAAGGCUUUCGAGUCGUAAAGUUCUUUUAUAUGGGAAGAUAAUGACGGUACCAUAAGAAAAAGCCCCGGCUAACUACGUGCCAGCAGCCGCGGUAAUACGUAGGGGGCUAGCGUUGUCCGGAAUCACUGGGCGUAAAGGGUUCGCAGGCGGAAAUGCAAGUCAGGUGUAAAAGGCAGUAGCUUAACUACUGUAAGCAUUUGAAACUGCAUAUCUUGAGAAGAGUAGAGGUAAGUGGAAUUUUUAGUGUAGCGGUGAAAUGCGUAGAUAUUAAAAAGAAUACCGGUGGCGAAGGCGACUUACUGGGCUCAUUCUGACGCUGAGGAACGAAAGCGUGGGUAGCAAACAAG
rnacentral:rRNA from 2 species